rnacentral:lncRNA from 1 species
UGUGGAGAUGUUUUUUAAAACCUUUUUGAUCUUCAAAGUAAUAUGUACAUACGUGUACAUGAAUACAUUUUUUUGGAAAUAUUUUUCCUGAAUAUUAUGGGGAGUCCAAUUAAUACUCUUCCACUGCACACAUUUUUUUGAUGAAGAGGUAAGAUAACAAUUAAAUAAACAGAAACGAACAUGAAAAAAAAAGGAAUUGUUAACUACGGAGUUAACUGAGAACUAAUUCUGCCAGUCAUGCAUACACUCUACAGUUUACAGAAGUGCAAAAUCAACACUAGAAAUUUCCUAAAAAUGUUCGAUCCCAAUGGUUUUCCAAUCAACACCUCGACGUGCAUGCAAGAAGGGGAAAUGCGGUGCGUGGAGGUGAUGCAGUGUGAGUGAGUGCGGAGGGAUGACGGACCUGCACUGGUGAGGCGCAAGGCGACCCUGAAUAAAACUCUAGUUUUCAUCUUCGACUCCCCCUCACUACGGACAAAAUAAUGGUUGAUGCUUCCACUGAGAGUUGAAGUCAGGACCUCCCGCUCACUAAUCGGGUGCUCUAGCCAACUAAGCCCAACUCUGCACCACAGUAAAAUACUAAAGUUUCGGACAAUUCCGCGCUUUUCACGCUUGUUUCGAAUUCUGCACCCUCGGUGGGGCCCCGAGGGCCUGGACUGCAGCACUACUGCUUGUUUGUUCCUG